GCCAAAGUGGCAUAGUGGUUUGAAUGUUGGGAUAUGACUCUGGAGAUCAGGGUUCAAUUCCCUGCUCAGCCA
rnacentral:tRNA from 1 species